rnacentral:lncRNA from 1 species
CUCUGUGACUGGCUUGCUUGAUGGUUAGGGUCUGAUCGCUGCCUGAGACACCAUAUCGGUACUCCUCAGAGUUGGUGUAUAUUUAGUUUUUUAUUAGGAAAAAUGACCAUCAUGAAUGCUGUUACAUCUUUGCCUAUAAUACUCAGCAGAAUCUUACCAUUUUCUGCGAGGAUAGUCACUGGAUCAGAAGGUUCAGAAGAGAAUAGACGCCUUGAUGGCUCCUCUGGCAGUUCUUGAUGACCAUGGAUGAGCUAAUGGCUGUGGUCUCAAUGGUGGCUUCUUGAGGAGCAUGCAGAGAAAUUGCUUUAGCCUCUGAUAAAUAAAACAGACUGCGAGGAAAAUUACAGCGAGGAAAUUACAGACAUCAUCUCCUUUGAACAGGGAAAAGGUAACAGGUUGUAAUUGCAGUGGAAGGGGAGACCAAACAUUCAAAGAUUGCUGAAGAGCCAACGAACUCUGAUUCUGUCAAGAUGAUGUCUUUGAUUUCUUUCACAAACUUCAGUGGCACAGCCUUUAGCUGUUUAGGAAAAUGCAAGAAGACAUAUGUAGAUGAGACAAAGAUAGACCAUGUCUAUACAUGUAUGAAAUGGAUGGGAGACAAAGGAAGCAACACUCAUGAGCCAGGACCAUAAAAGCCACAGAAAUAUAAGAAAUGAAUGGGACUACUCUCUGAUCAUUGAAAAAGAGAGACAGAACAUUCGAUGGAGGCAGAAAGAGCAAGGAGUCAG